rnacentral:rRNA from 1 species
AUACGUAGGGUGCAAGCGUUAAUCGGAAUUACUGGGCGUAAAGCGUGCGCAGGCGGUUUUGUAAGACAGUGGUGAAAUCCCCGGGCUCAACCUGGGAACUGCCAUUGUGACUGCAAGGCUGGGGUGCGGCAGAGGGGGAUGGAAUUCCGCGUGUAGCAGUGAAAUGCGUAGAUAUGCGGAGGAACACCGAUGGCGAAGGCAAUCCCCUGGGCCUGCACUGACGCUCAUGCACGAAAGCGUGGGGAGCAAACAGGAUUAGAUACCCUGGUAGUCCACGCCCUAAACGAUGUCAACUUGUUGUUGGGGAUUUAUUUUCUCAGUAACGAAGCUAACGCGUGAAGUUGACCGCCUGGGGAGUACGGCCGCAAGGUUAAAACUUAAAUGAAUUGGCGGGG